rnacentral:rRNA from 1 species
UACAGAGGGCGCGAGCGUUGUCCGGAAUCACUGGGCGUAAAGGGCGCGUAGGUGGCCACUAUAAGGCCGCGGUGAAAGUUCGGGGCUCAACCCCGAAUCUGCCGCGGCGACUGUAGGGCUUGGGCACCGUAGAGGCAGAUGGAAUUCCGGGUGUAGCGGUGGAAUGCGUAGAGAUCCGGAAGAACACCAGUGGCGAAGGCGGCUUGCCAGAACGCGCUCGACGGUGAGGGAUGAAAGCCUGGGGGAGCAAACCGG